GUAGGUGGCAAGCGUUGUCCGGAAUUAUUGGGCGUAAAGCGCGCGCAGGCGGUUCUUUAAGUCUGAUGUGAAAGCCCACGGGCUCAACCGUGGAGGGUCAUUGGAAACUGGAGAACUUGAGUACAGAAGAGGAAAGCGGAAUUCCACGUGUAGCGGUGAAAUGCGUAGAGAUGUGGAGGAACACCAGUGGCGAAGGCGGCUUUCUGGUCUGUAACUGACGCUGAGGCGCGAAAGCGUGGGGAGCAAACAGGAUUAGAUACCCUGGUAGUCCACGCCGUAAACGAUGAGUGCUAAGUGUUAGGGGGUUUCCGCCCCUUAGUGCUGCAGCAAACGCAUUAAGCACUCCGCCUGGGGAGUACGGCCGCAAAGGCUG
rnacentral:rRNA from 1 species